rnacentral:rRNA from 1 species
UUUUUGAAGGGUUUGAUCCUGGCUCAGAAUGAACGUUGGCGGCGUGGAUUAGGCAUGCAAGUCGAACGGUAAGGUUACUUAGCUUGCUUUGUAACCCUAGAGUGGCGAAAGGGAUAGUACAAUGUAGAUCA